UGGGGAAUUUUGGACAAUGGGGGCAACCCUGAUCCAGCCAUGCCGCGUGCGGGAAGAAGGCCUUCGGGUUGUAAACCGCUUUUGUCAGGGAAGAAAUCCUUUGGGCUAAUAACUCGGAGGGAUGACGGUACCUGAAGAAUAAGCACCGGCUAACUACGUGCCAGCAGCCGCGGUAAUACGUAGGGUGCAAGCGUUAAUCGGAAUUACUGGGCGUAAAGCGUGCGCAGGCGGUUAUGCAAGACAGAUGUGAAAUCCCCGGGCUCAACCUGGGAACUGCAUUUGUGACUGCAUGGCUAGAGUACGGUAGAGGGGGAUGGAAUUCCGCGUGUAGCAGUGAAAUGCGUAGAUAUGCGGAGGAACACCGAUGGCGAAGGCAAUCCCCUGGACCUGUACUGACGCUCAUGCACGAAAGCGUGGGGAGCAAACAGGAUUAGAUACCCAAGUAGUCCCUGAGCGGGCUGGCAAGGCGCAU
rnacentral:rRNA from 1 species